ACCCUUUUGACUUAGUAGUAGAGUAAUGCCAUGGUAAUGCAUAAGUCAUCGGUUCAAGUCCGGUAAAGGGCU
rfam:Picea glauca, whole genome shotgun sequence.